GAGUUUGAUCCUGGCUCAGAUUGAACGCUGGCGGCAGGCUUAACACAUGCAAGUCGAACGAGGUUAGGGAGCUUGCUCCUGAUACCUAGUGGCGAACGGGUGAGUAAUGCUUAGGAAUCUGCCUAGUAGUGGGGGAUAACUUGGGGAAACUCAAGCUAAUACCGCAUACGACCUACGGGUGAAAGGGGGCGCAAGCUCUCGCUAUUAGAUGAGCCUAAGUCGGAUUAGCUAGUUGGUGGGGUAAAGGCCUACCAAGGCGACGAUCUGUAGCUGGUCUGAGAGGAUGAUCAGCCACACUGGGACUGAGACACGGCCCAGACUCCUACGGGAGGCAGCAGUGGGGAAUAUUGGACAAUGGGCGAAAGCCUGAUCCAGCCAUGCCGCGUGUGUGAAGAAGGCCUUUUGGUUGUAAAGCACUUUAAGUAGGGAGGAAAAGCUAAUGGUUAAUACCCAUUAGCCCUGACGUUACCUACAGAAUAAGCACCGGCUAACUCUGUGCCAGCAGCCGCGGUAAUACAGAGGGUGCAAGCGUUAAUCGGAAUUACUGGGCGUAAAGCGCGCGUAGGUGGUUACUUAAGUCAGAUGUGAAAGCCCCGGGCUUAACCUGGGAACUGCAUCUGAUACUGGGUGACUAGAGUAGGUGAGAGGGGAGUAGAAUUCCAGGUGUAGCGGUGAAAUGCGUAGA
rnacentral:rRNA from 1 species